rnacentral:rRNA from 1 species
UACGGGGGGGAGCAAGCGUUGUUCGGAAUUACUGGGCGUAAAGGGCUCGUAGGCGGCCAACUAAGUCAGACGUGAAAUCCCCCGGCUUAACCUGGGAACUGCGUCUGAUACUGGGAGGCUAGAGUAUGGGAGAGGGAUGUGGAAUUCCAGGUGUAGCGGUGAAAUGCGUAGAUAUCUGGAGGAACACCGGUGGCGAAGGCGGCUUUCUGGACAGAUACCGACGCUGAGGCACGAAAGCUAGGGGAGCAAACAGG